UCCUGAUAAAGGAGUCUUUUGCUUGUCCUAAAAGCACAGGUGAAUAAGGGGUGGGCAAGUCUGGUGUCAGCCGCCGCGGUAAUACCAGCACCUCGAGUGGUCAGGACGUUUAUUGGGCCUAAAGCAUCCGUAGCCGGCUCUGCAAGUCUUCGGUUAAAUCCACCUGCUCAACAGAUGGGCCGCUGGAGAUACUACAGAGCUAGGGAGUGGGAGAGGCAGACGGUAUUCAGUGGGUAGGGGUAAAAUCCUCUGAUCCAUUGAGGACCACCAGUGGCGAAGGCGGUCUGCCAGAACACGUUCGACGGUGAGGGAUGAAAGCUGGGGGAGCAAACCGGAUUAGAUACCCCUGUAGUCC
rnacentral:rRNA from 1 species